rnacentral:misc_RNA from 1 species
UUAAGUUCAGCGGGUAGUCCUACCUGAUUUGAGGCCAGAUCAUAAAAGUUCACGUCCGAAGAGCGUGGGGUUAGAAAGCAGACGUUUGCAACUAGAGUCCUGGCCAACCCAUGAAGGGAUGUCCUCAGCGAAAUACUUAUUACGCCAAGUAGAACCAAGUCUCACGACAUGUCCAGCUAAUCCUUUUAAGGUGAGCAGCC